rnacentral:rRNA from 1 species
CCUACGGGAGGCAGCAGUGAGGAAUAUUGGUCAAUGGCCGAGAGGCUGAACCAGCCAAGUCGCGUGAGGGAAGACGGCCCUACGGGUUGUAAACCUCUUUUGUCGGGGAGCAAAGAGAGUCACGUGUGACUCAUUGAGAGUACCCGAAGAAAAAGCAUCGGCUAACUCCGUGCCAGCAGCCGCGGUAAUACGUAGGGGGCAAGCGUUAUCCGGAAUUACUGGGUGUAAAGGGAGCGUAGACGGUUAAGUAAGUCUGGAGUGAAAGGCCGGGGCCCAACCCCGGGACUGCUCUGGAAACUAUUGAACUUGAGUGCAGGAGAGGUAAGCGGAAUUCCUAGUGUAGCGGUGAAAUGCGUAGAUAUUAGGAGGAACACCAGUGGCGAAGGCGGCUUACUGGACUGUAACUGACGUUGAGGCUCGAAAGCGUGGGGAGCAAACAGGAUUAGAUACCCCGGUAGUC